UCAAUAACUGCCCAACCCCCCUUCCCCCUACACAUAACUAUUACAUAUGAGUUAAGGUCUGGGACCUGAGUGUAAUAAUUGUAGGUGCUAUGAAACUUAACUGUGUCCUCCUCCUAAAACUG